UUCAAAAACCAAACCUAAACUCACGCACAAGACAGAUAUCAAGUGCACUCAACAGCCGUCGGGUAGCUUGUCGUGUGGAUUCUAUGUUGCACUGAACAUGUACGACCUACUCGGUGACAUAAAUAUCAUUAAAAAGGCUUCUGAUUACAAAGCUACCCAAGAAGUAGAUCAAGGAGCACUAAGGAUGGUCCAGCGGAUGCUCUGCGAUUUCAUUCUUAAGGAGAUUAUCGACCCAAAGGGCAGCUUCCAUGAUGAGCCAGCACAUGCCGUGUGAGUUCAUUCUAAAUGCUCUGAAACAGUGAACUUGGAACUUGUAACCUGUAAAUUUAAACUUGCAGUCAUAAACCUUGUAACUUGUAACAUGUAACUUUAAUUCUUGAUGUGUACUUGUGUAGAUAACUUUCAUUCUUGAUGUGUAAUCUGUGAUGUAUAUAUAUGCGCUUGAUGUAUAA